UGGAGACUAGAAUCAUCUGAUGGCUUGCUCAUUUGCAUGUCUGGCAGAUGAUGCUGGCUGUUGGCUGGGAGUAUGGUCAGAACACCUACAUGUGACCUUUUUGUGUGGCUGCUUGGUUUCCUCAUAGCUUGGUGGUUGGGUUUUAAGAGUGUGUAACUCAAGAGAGAGCUGUGUUGAAGCUGAAUCAUCUUUUUCUAAUUUAGCCUUGGAAAUUAUGUAAACGCCUCUUCUGCAACAUUCUAUUCACUUGGAAUGAGUCACUAUGUCCAUUCCACAUUCAGAAGAAAGAGAAUUAGAUGCCACCUUUUGAAAGGAGGCAUGUCAAAGAAUUUGUGGACAUAUUUUACAAUACUGCACUUACCUUCUUGUCUCCAUUUAAAAUGAGGAACUGGAGCAUCAGAGAGUGGCAGAGCUGUGAUUACAUCGGAGGCCAUCUGACCCUGACUUUAAUUUUUUCUCAAUGUUAAAUGUGUUGAUGACUUGUCUAAGUUCACCUUUAUGAUAAAGAACUUGUAUUAUUUUGUCUAAAUCAGGUGCUGGCAAACCAUGGCCCAUGGACCAAAUCCAACAAAUACUUUGUUUUUCCUUAGAAUGUCCGGGAGACCCAACCUGCCUUGGAAACCAACUGAUGAGACUGCCUCAUGUCAAUCUUGCUGUGAUUUUAUUCCUUUGAGCUUGCAGCAAAUGACUCUACUGGAAACCGUCACUCCUUUGGAUUAGGACCAAAGCCCUGUGGUAUAAUUGAAGAGGAUAAGGAAGGGGGCCCUUCCUCGGAUAUUUCCCCACUUAAGAGAUGAUUUAUCUCAUCAAACAGGAUGGAUGUAAAAGUCUAUCCAUGCUUUCUCCACCUCACAGCUUUCAUGACUCAUUCUGGACUCACCCUAUGUUCUGUCACGUGAAACAUUUCAAGGUUGUUCCCCUAGCAAUCUUAUUCUUUGCUCUCUCUUGCUGAAGCCUUUCCACAAACUCCCAACUUGGAUCAAUCCUUUUUGCUCUCCUCCAUCUGAGUGUAGGAUUUUCCCAUGAGGACUCCGUAAUUCUUGGUGAUUAAUACAUAGAGAGGUCUUAGAAGUGUUGGGAGGGAGGUGAGAAAGUGUUGUAUGUAGGAAAGACGUGAAUUGUUGUGGUAGGAUGUCUGCAAAUAUGGCUGCCAGUUCCUCCCAUAUCUGUGAUCAUAUGCCACUAAGUCCUCGAGUGGGGAGCCUAUUCUCCCUUCCUAUAGAAUCUGGACUGACCCUGUGACUUGCUUUGACCAGCCGAAUACAGAGAAGGUAAAGCUGUGUGAUCUCAGAUUUUUAGGUUUUAAGGGACACUGUUGGCCUGUUGGGAUUCAGCACCAUAUAAAGAAACUUGAGGCCCCUCAGCUCCCAGAAUUUCUAGUCACUCGAGAGAUAAAUCACCAGAUAUUGAGAGUAAAACCAUCUUAGAAGUUCAGUCCCAAUCAAGCACCCUGUUGAAUGCACUGCAGAAGUGACUUCAGUCAAUAUCAUGAGUAGAGUGAAUAAACCAACCAGCUAAGCCUAGAGGAUCCACAGAAUUAUGAAACUAAAAAAGUUUGUUGCUGUUUAAGUCACCAAGUUUUGGGACGUUUGUUACGCAGCAAUAGAUAACUAAUUCAAUCACCAAGUUCAAAGUGAUUUUGCUUUCAGACUCCUCACUCCUAGGAGGGGAAAUACAGUGUGGUCUAGAGAUAUAAUUGUUGGGGAUAAUGGAGCCCUUCCCCAGUUUCUUCUCCAAUGACUCCCAUAUACCCUUGGUAAAGAAAAACAGUCACUUGCUAAAGGCGACAAGACUGAUUGUGUUCAAACUACUGAAGUAGGAGGAAAAGACUCCAGUAUAGACUGAGCUCAAUGCCAACUAAGCCCAAACUAAGAGAAAGUUGAUGGAGACUUUUAAAGGGAGAAUUGAUAGGGAACAAAAAGGGACUAUGGGAAAGUGCAAAAGGGGGAAAAAGGAACUUGGGGCCAUGUGGAAGGAGAAAAAUUCCAGGAGAGGGAAUUAUUGAAAAUAGUUUGGCAAAGUGGGUUGGGACAAUGAAUUUUUUCUGGUGUGACAGCAUUGUGUUUUCCUGAGCAAAGACUCACCACGAAGGCUGGGGUUACCUUUAGGAAAACCGCCUGGUGCGGAUGGAAGUCAGGCUAAAGUUCAGUCAUGUCUCUUAGCACAAUGUUUGGGCAAGUCCUUUGUGUGACACGGGAGUUCACAGUUCACAUGCUUCCAGGCAGAUGACCUCAAGUCCUUCUUCAGGGAUGAGAUAGAGCAUAAACUCUGAGCCUCCACACCAAUACAUUCUUCAUUGGGGGAUGAGGUGUUCCUCUACUUAAGUUUUCCACUCCUUCUCUUUAUCCUCUCCCAUCUUAUUUCCUUAGAGAUUUUGCUUCAUAAAAUAGGACUUCCUUCUCUAUUUUCUACCAAAACCUCGACAAUAGUUCCUCCUCAAAUCUCAAGUCUCUCCACUACUAUUAUAACUCUUCCUUCACGUCGAACUUUUUCUAACUCUUUUUCCUUUGCUUUGCUUCAUGACCAAAUCCUUCAAGGUGAUUAUCUACAUACACUUUCCUCACUUACUAUUACCUACCCUAAGUGCAUUUCCCUCUCUGCUGAAUUUUAGCUGGACCAGGUCGCCAAUGAUCUUUUGAUCUUCCAAAUCUAAUGAGAAUACUUGCUUCAUCUGGAAACUUUUUCUUCCUGUGGCUUUUUUGGUUUUCCCACUCAUCUUUCUGUUUGUUUCCAGUCAUGUUUUAAUGCUCCUCAAUCACCAUUUUUUGUGUAUGUGUGUGUGUGGAAGAUUGGA